rnacentral:rRNA from 1 species
UACGUAGGCAGCGAGCGUUGUUCGGAGUUACUGGGCGUAAAGGGUGUGUAGGCGGUUCUUUAAGUUUGGUGUGAAAUCUCCCGGCUCAACCGGGAGGGUGCGCCGAAUACUGAGGGACUAGAGUGCGGGAGAGGAAAGUGGAAUUCCUGGUGUAGCGGUGAAAUGCGUAGAUAUCGUUUGGAACGCCAAAGGUGAAAACAGACAGCUGGGAGUGUGCUGACGCUGAGACACGCAAGCCAGGGGAGCGAACGGG